UUGCUAUCUGCGAUAUGGAAGAUUCGAACCUGCCGCUGGUUCGGGUCUCACGUAGUGAGACAACGGAGCCGCUUGCGGCGACGGCCCGAAGGGCGAGCAAAGCGAGUCAUCCUGCACGACCCACCA
rnacentral:sRNA from 2 species